GGUUGGAUUCCCGAGUUGGUUAAAGGGAGCAGACUGUAAAUCUGCCGCCGCGUGCUUCGUAGGUUCGAAUCCUACUCCAACCACCA
rnacentral:tRNA from 1 species